GUCAAAUAAGCGACACCCGAAUAUGGGUUACGCGGCUUGGCCACAAACUUUGCUGACAUCCGAAUACGGGUGUCAUGGCAGUCAACGUGUUAAUAUUACUUACCUACGAAUUCGCCAACGCGUAGGUUCAUCUCCAUGGCCGCUGCGCCAAUAUGAUGAGGACUAAAUAGAACUGACAGCAUCCUACUUUCCAAACCUUGUAGAGCUAAUACAAUAGCACCAACGGGCUGUCGUUCUCGAAGAAACUGAGAGAAUGUCAAAUGUUUUUAUAAAUGUAAAAUAUUAAUUAAAUGAUAUUCCAGUGGAUUAAAUAUAUUACUCGAAAAUUUUUUUCACUGUC